CCUACGGGAGGCAGCAGUGAGGAAUAUUGGUCAAUGGACGAGAGUCUGAACCAGCCAAGUAGCGUGAAGGAUGACUGCCCUAUGGGUUGUAAACUUCUUUUAUAUGGGAAUAAAACAGGGUAUGCAUACCCUCUUGUAUGUACCAUAUGAAUAAGGAUCGGCUAACUCCGUGCCAGCAGCCGCGGUAAUACGGAGGAUCCGAGCGUUAUCCGGAUUUAUUGGGUUUAAGGGGAGCGUAGGUGGAUUGUUAAGUCAGUAGUGAAAGUUUGCGGCUCAACCGUAAAAUUGCAGUUGAAACUGGGCGGCUGGAGUGCAGUAGAGGCGGGCGGAAUUCGUGGUGUAGCGGUGAAAUGCGUAGAUAUCACGAAGAACUCCGAUUGCGAAGGCAGCCUGCUGGACUGCAACUGACACUGAUGCUCGAAAGUGUGGGUAGCAAACAGGAUUAGAUACCCUUGUAGUC
rnacentral:rRNA from 1 species